AAGUCCAAAUAUUGAAGUAAUUUUAUAAUUUAUUGACGAUGAAAUAUUUCAGUCUUCAGACACUUAUAUACAAUAUACAACUAUACGAGAGUACCUAUUGUACUUAAAUAUUAAACGGUUAUAAUAUAUAAUACAUAAACCGGGUGUCUGAACCCGGCUGAUGUAUAGACGUAUAGACGCGAUUCAAGUUAAAUUCUCCAAUCGUUAUGAUAGAAUAAUAGCGUUGAAUAUUUAAAAUAUCGGUAAAAAUCGACAUAUAUACUAACACAAAUAAUGUGCUUACCUUUACGUUUGAUAACAGAUUAAGUUAUUAUAAAAUCAAAACCAUAGGUGCAACUAGAAGGGGGGGCUAUGUCCCUUCAGUUUUCUAAAUGUUACGACCCUGUGACGACAAAUAUAGUUACUUCGAUAUAUUCUUAUUUUAUAAUAAUUGUUUGUAUUUGU